AGUAUAAAAUCCCCUACAAGUAUUCUGUGUGUAAAGCUCAAUCCCAAUUUCUCCGGACGCACCAUGGGGACUGCAGGCAGCGACGUCGAAGCCGGCUUUGCAAAGCUGCAAGGCGAGGAUUUUGAGUACUACAUGCAAACAUACUCCAUAAUGUUGGGCCGCAAUUCCAAGAAAUCCACCGUCGAUGUCGACCUCUCCAGCCUUGGUGGCGGUAUGAACAUCUCCCGUCACCACGCUCGCAUCUUUUACGAUUUCACGCGCCGACGUUUUGCCCUAGAGGUUCUUGGUAAAAACGGCUGCUUGGUCGAAGGUGUCCUCCAUCUCCCUGGUAACCCUCCUGUCAAGCUUGAUUCCCAAGAUCUGUUGCAAAUUGGGGAUAAGGAGUUUUAUUUUCUGCUUCCCGUGAGGAGUAUUCUAGGCGGCCAUCUUGGACCCAGGCAUCAUGUGGCGGUGAUGCCUCAGUACGGUUAUCAUUCCUCUGGGGCGGAGAGGAUGUCGGGGGCUGUGGCCGUGGCGGCAGUUAAGAAAGGGAGAAGAGAAUUUUACGAGGAUGAGCACGAUGAUGAAGAGGAGAUUGGUGGUGGCGGUGGUAAUGGUGGAAAGAAGGUGAGGAGAGAGGGUUUUGAGGGGUACGGCUACAGUGCAGGUGGUGGCUCCGGUGGUAAAGUGGGAUUGGCUGGAGCAUUAGUUCCUGCAGAGAAGAAAAUAGAUGGAAGAUCAAGGGUUGAUCGUGAUUCUGACAAUCACCAACUUAUGCAGUUGGAAGAAAAAGAUGUAGUGUCAUCUGUUGCUACUGUGCUGUCUGAUCUUUGUGGUCCUGGAGAAUGGAUGCCCAUGGAGAAACUCCAUGCUGAGUUGGUGGAGCAAUUUAGCAAUGUCUGGCAUCAUACUCGGGUGAGGAGAUAUCUCACGUCUGAGGACUGGCCUGGUCCUGAAUCCAAAGGGAAACCCUGGUAUGGCUUGCUUAUGUUGUUGAGAAAAUACCCAGAGCAUUUUGUCAUCAACACGAGGUCCAAGGGUCGUGUAACACUGGAGUUUGUCUCUCUCGUCUCUCUGCUUUCAUAAGAUACUGAGAACAUAACUAGGUUCUUCUUCUCACAUGGCCUAGCUGCAUGCAGUUUGUCCACUGAGUGAAUUAAGUUGCAGAUUGUUGAUCUUGACUCUUGGAUUAGGUCUGGACUUGCAGCUUGAAAACAUGAAAGAUUUCCUGUUUCUUGAGAACAUCUCUUAAUGAUGUGGGAAUUUCACUGCCUCCAAAAUUUUUUAGCCAUCCAGUACUGCUGUCUUUAAACCUCCUGUGAUCCAUACGAUAGAGUUGAAUUCAUACAUCCAGUCUCCACCAAUGCAACAAGGUUACUGGCUGAUCUUAGCAUAAGAUGAGUGAUGUUCAGUUAUUUAGCUUGAGCCUUCAGAUUCCUACGUUAAAUGUAUUUGAAGCAUGGUAGAUAACAUGGCCAAUUUUGUGCAACUUUCAUCGUUUAUCCUUCACUUUUCUGGGGAUUGAAAUCCAGCUCCUUAACUUUGAGGUUAACAUGUUGUAGACUUCUACAAGAUCAACUUGGCGAUAAUUACUGUUGCUUAUCAGAUGUGCCCUUUGGGAUUCGUGCAAAAAGCUGAGAUUUGACUGCUUCACCCAUCCCUUGUUCGGUUUCACUUGUGGAAGAUAUCAUGGACAAAAAGGUUCCUGUUUCUCUUUCUUUAUCCCCUCAAAAUAGUUCAUCAAGGUCUGAUCAAUACAUUUUCAAACAAUAUUGUGAACAAAAAACAUCUCAAGCCCCUGUUUGAAAAUUAUAAUUUUGUAAGAAUUUAAUUCAAUUGAUUUUUUUUCUUUUUUUAUUAA